rnacentral:rRNA from 1 species
GAUCAACGCUGGCGGCGUGCUUAACACAUGCAAGUCGAACGAAGUUUUUCCUUCGGGAGCAACUUAGUGGCGGACGGGUGAGUAACGCGUGGGUAACCUGCCCUGUACAGGGGGACAACAGCUGGAAACGGCUGCUAAUACCGCAUAAGCCCUUAGCACUGCAUGGUGCAUAGGGAAAAGGAGCAAUCCGGUACAGGAUGGACCCGCGUCUGAUUAGCCAGUUGGCAGGGUAACGGCCUACCAAAGCGACGAUCAGUAGCCGAUCUGAGAGGAUGUACGGCCACAUUGGGACUGAGACACGGCCCAGACUCCUACGGGAGGCAGCAGUGGGGAAUAUUGCACAAUGGAGGAAACUCUGAUGCAGCGACGCCGCGUGAGUGAAGAAGUAUUUCGGUAUGUAAAGCUCUAUCAACAGGGAAGAAAAUGACGGUACCUGACUAAGAAGCACCGGCUAAAUACGUG